CCCUUAGAUGUUCUGGGCCGCACGCGCGCUACACUGAUGCAUUCAACGAGUUUCUUCCUGGUCCGAGAGGAAUGGGUAACCUUUUGAAAGUGCAUCGUGAUAGGGAUAGACUAUUGCAAUUAUUGGUCUUCAACGAGGAAUUCCUAGUAGACGUAGUUCAUCAGACUGCAUCGAUUACGUCCCUGCCCUUUGUACACACCGCCCGUCGCUCCUACCGAUUGAAGUUUUCGGUGAGUUGACAGGAGGAUUUUUUUGAAACUGGUUCGCCAGUGGAUUUUAGAUCCAAAUGCCAACGAAUCGAUGGCUUUAGAGGAAGGAGAAGUCGUAACA
rnacentral:rRNA from 1 species